UUAAAAAAGAAAAAAGAAAAAUAUGGUAUGUAUGUAUACACACAUCUUUAAAGAAAAAAGAAUGAUUGGUUUUCAAGGUGCAUGAAAGCUUAUUUAACUAGCAAUGAGAAAACAAUGUUAGCUCUCCCACAGUAGUCUUUAAUAGCUCUGCAUUCCAGCCUGAGUACAGAUGGAGCUUUGAUAUUAUCGCAGUUUUGCAGUGACUAUGUGCUGUACAUCCUGCUGCUAAUCCUGUGGUGGGAAUCAGCGCCUCUUAACACCUGGUGCCAAGACACAACCAUUUGCCUGAACCUGUCACAGAUGAUUUCAGCUACAGGAUACGCAGCAUCGUGGGCUGGAUUUGGGCAUAUCCUGGCUCGUGCUGCAACACAAACCCUGUUGGGCUGGAGACUUCACCAGUGCAGAGCAAAAAGCUGUCCCUACCCCAAAAAGGUCUCAGACUCACAAGGUUCACACUGCCGUUAGCCCAGUCAUAACUGUGUGAGGCAGACCAUUGUUUCUGUCACUGCUGGGAGAAGACAUUUUUCUCAUCACAGAACAAAGAGCACUUCGGGGUUCAAAGGCAAAAGGAUGUUGCAGUAUUGCUGGGACUUCCCUUCUCCCCCAGCCCUCCUCACCAGAAUGCAAUAUUCUGAUACAAUUGAUGGGGCGUUUGGAAUCUGACAGCAUUUGCUUCUACCUGGUUUCCUGUGAAAACCCUCCUGUCGCCUCACAGAGCUACAUGAAGGCCCAGGGCUGGGAUGGAAGAUGGAGAUGGAGGUGAUGGAGAUGGAGCCUCCUCCUGCAGGAGCCGCAGAGGUCACCCAGGGCUGAAGAGUGGGGAGAAGCUCAUUUGUUAUGCAAAUGUCUGCUUGAGCCUGGUGUAGACAGUGGAAAGCUCUUGAAUUAUUUUAAGCAGAGGACAAAAGUUCUUUCCCUCCCCCUAUCAUCUUGGAUCCUAGUAAAAACAAAACAAACCAGAAACCUCUCUGUGAACCAUCUGACAAUGAUCAGCGCUCGCUUUCCUGGCAGGAGCGCGGCAGCCGGGCAUACGCAGGCGCGUGGAAAUAGAACAAUGAAGAAGAAAGCUGUAUUGGCAGC